rnacentral:lncRNA from 1 species
AACGGUACAAUAUAAUUAAGAAGUUCUAAUUGGGAAUAAAAAUAAUAAAUUUAUUACCAAUCAUCAAAUCAUAUACAACAAUGACUAGUAAUUAUAUAUAUAACACAAAAGAGAAAAGAAUUUUUCUUUUUCUUUUUCUUUUUUUCUUUGCCUUUUUUUAGGUAAACGCACUCGAGGCUUACAUAAAAAAGAUGGAAAUCAUGAGUUUCAAAAUCAAAAGGUUAAAAUCGUAUCCUCUGAAUGUGAUGAGACUGAUCUUUGUCCCAAUCUUAUCAAUCUCUCAAACUAAUUCAAGAUGCAAGGAACUAAGCUCUAGUCCCUCGAGUUUUUUCAAUCUCAACAGAUCCAGUACGAAACUUUUUCAGACUUGCACCACUUGAUGAACUCUUGUUUCCCACUUGAAUCAUUCUUCUGCAAAUCAACUCUUUUAAGUAAUUAAUCUCUGGCACCAUCCUCCAUGGUUUCUUCUCCCCUCCUUUGUAUGAACUCCUCUGCCAGACUGCCAUCCAUGAUUUUAAAUACUUUCUGUCAUGAUGAGAUUUCUUCUUUUCUUUUCUUGAUAGAAGGCCUCCUACUACCAUUCCUGGGAGAGGCAGACCUUCACAUUUUGUUAGUCUUUUUGAGAAAGAGCUCCCAACUCUCCGUUCCAUCUAGAUGAUUGCGAGUAGUGAUCAGCACUCUGCUCUUAUUUGAUUCGGCAAAAUAUGAGCUUAACACACCCCGAACCUCAAACUUCCACACAUCAUCUAGCACUAUUAAACACUUCCCCAACUCAUUCUCACUAUUCUUACUUAAUGAGAGUGAAAACAGAAGUGGCAAUCCACUUUGGAAGCUCUAUGAUUCUGUAUCCCCGAGAUAGUGUUGCUUCACGUACCUCUGACUGCAUACUUUCUUGCCGAGAGUUGUGUUGCCGAGGCCACCCAUGCCCACAACUAGUAGUACAAAUCCACAAGCUACUUGUAAAACCAAGUUGCCUAACUUCUCUAGGAAAAUGAUAACACUACUGCUUUCAGCUGCCAUUCCUUUAGCUUCUGUUCUUCAUCUAACCUCAAUUGCUGUAUAUAAAAGAGAUGAGGUUGCUUCAGGAGACGAUCAUCAAGGAAGAAAAAGGAAAAAGAAAAAGGUAGUGGAGAGAUUCGAAUGCCAGUAGGCUUCCAGGACAAAAGGCAAAUAAUUAAAGAGAGAUUACACCUCAAUAAUCUCUCUUUUAACGUGAAUCAUAUCCCUUUACUUUGAUACCAAGUUUUGAAUUAGGUUUUUAUUCGCUUUAUUUAAAAAUAAAUUUAUCAUUCUUUGUAUAAAUAAUAAUAAUAAUAAUAAUAAUAAUAUAAGUAGAUUUGAAAAGAACACAAAAUAAACUUUUAUUGAGCUUAAUUUUUUUUUCCUUAAAUUUUCUUUUCUUCCAUUUUUUUCAAAUAAAUCUUAAAAGAAAAAUAUAAAGAUAAAUAAAUUAAGUAAAUUUGAAAAUUAAAAAAAAAUUAUUGAGUAUAAACUCAUUUUUUAUUUUUCUUAAAUUUUUAGCACACAUAGAAUUUUAUUAAGUUUAAAUUUGCUUUCCAUUUUCUUUUAAUUUUUUAUUUUAUUUUCUUCCAUUUUUUUCUCUCUCUCCUAUAUUCUUUUUAUAUUUUUGUAUCGCCUUUGUACUAAAUGGAAUAACGUGGAUGUGAAGCAAUGAAGCAUGUGAAUGCUUUACAAUUUAAUAUUGGAUAAAUAAAUAGAAUUAUUUUCUUUUACUUUUUUUUUUGCUUCUUCUUUAAAAGGGAAAAGCAAAUAAAUAAAUAAAUAAUUAUAUUAAACUUAUUCGUGAAGCAAUCUGAGCGGAAUUUCUUGGAUGCUCUGCAACUCGGUUCAAACUUUUUUUGUUUAUCAACAAAAUCUUUCUAUUAAUGUCUAUUUUUUUCCUUUCAAAAAUGAGAAUAAUUUGAAAGGGUCGUUAGAAAUUAUUGUUGAAAUAAAUUUUCUACUCUAUAGAAUAAUUUUAACAUGUUUUAGGGUUUUUUUUGUAGAGCAUUCAAUAAAACAAAUGAAAAUAGGAAGGAUACUUCAGCAACUUUUCCAUUAUAUAUACAUGUCCAGCGCUUUUACAGAGAAUAAAACAAAAAUGGUAUUGUUAAUGUUUGAUCCAUUCUCAAAACCUACUUUUUGAAGACUUUCCCAGGCAGACCCUAAACACCAGAAGAAGAUGAUUAUUUCCCAAUAGCUAAACAAGCUAACCAGGCCUCUUAAGAUUCAAUCAAAAAGUUCAAUUCAUGAGACUCCCUCCAUUAUUACAACCUUACAGCAUACCAAAAUCUCAUUUCAUUUACCCCAUCAUGCAAAAAAAAAAACCAUAAACUACCAAAAAUGCGUGUAUUAAAAUACAGAACACGGUUGUAAAUGGGGAAAAAACAAUAAAACACUACAGAUCACCAUACAGUUGUUCAACGGCAAUAUUGUAUAUGGUUUGUACCUUAUUACUCUCCCUGCCUCGUAAGCAAGCUUUAAAUCUCAGAGCCUGCCAUUAUCAGCUGUUCCUGCAUGUGAGGCCAAGUCAACGUUUAGAUUCUCAAACUUCUCUUUUAAGGUGGUUACAUCCAUAACAGCAGUGAUUUGCUCCUGGAUCUCUGCUUUCAAUUUUUCUACUGUUUCUGAACUGGACCCUUUUGCUACCUCUGCUUUCAACUCUUCAAUUUUCCCAUUAAGACCAGUUACAUUUAUGGCUCUUUCAAUUUCCUUACCAAUCUCCUCAUUCACCUUCGCAAUGUUUUCUGCCAAAUCUGGAGGUGGAGGGGGAACAUUUCUCUUGGUCAUGCCGAUGAUCUCCAAGUUGGCCGACUUCAGCACCUCUUUCAGCUCAUUUUUGGCCUUUUCUACUUCCUCUACUAAAUCCUUGUCAAAUGGAUCUCCUUUUGAUAACUUCUGCUGUGCUUCCUUUAAAACUUCCAUCUUUGCUUUUACCUCUGCAGGAACUUUCUGAUUAAUCUCUGCUUUUAGUUUCUCGGCUUUUUCUUUGUGCUCAAUGAGCCUGUGCGCCAUGUUUAGCAUUUCCAGCUUUUGCUUUAACCCAAGAUAGGCACCAGGCCGUGCCAAAUUAUGAUCAAAUUCUUGCAUUAUCCUAUCCACCUUCUCCUUCAAUGCCCAGUUGAGAGUUUGAUUGUUAGGGUCAUCAGGAGUUUUAGAUAACUCCAACUGAAGUGAUUCAAGCUUCUCCUGCAAUCCCAUGGAGAUGAAUGCAUUAGUAAUCUCCUGAUCUACAUCUUCCUCAAGUUUCUUAAUUGUUUGACUUGUAAUUGGCUCAGAUGGUCCCUCUGCCUCUAGAAUUUUCUUCUUUAGCUCCUCAAGCUCCGACUCUAUAUCACCAGCCUCUGCAGCAUUCAAGUCGGAUAACUUCAUGUUUCUUUUCCUUUCUGGGUCCACUGGGAUGCCUUCUUGGAAACCUCCAAUUGGCCGGUAUUUGAGCAUUCGGUGACGGAUCAACUCUUCUGUAUCCAUCUUUCCCAACUCCUGGUUUCAUUUUAGUAUCGCUAUUAGUAAUAACUAAAUGGUAAAUAAUCAAGCAGGAGCCAAAACAGAUUAAAGCACAGAGGCUGAAAUAGGAAAAUAGAGCUGCAGAAAGAUCAUUUUCAAGCUUUUUCUUCUGUAGAAUAUCAUUUAGUGACUCACAAGCAGAUUUACCAAAUUGAGUUAAUAUAUGAUGAACUUUCAAGAGUUGUUCCUGAAUUAAAUUGAUCCAAUCAAUCACAUGAUUUUAGUAUAAUACAGUUGGACCACACAGGCUUCACUUUCACAUGCUGUAGGCCCAAUAGGAGAUUAUGGCAUGCUUGGCUCCAAGUUGGUUAAGGAUUUGGCUUUAGGUCAUCACUCAAUUUCUUGUAUGUGCUUACGGUGUGCACGUGUUUGAGUUUGUAGUUCCCGCAGCUUUCAGCAAAGGAAAAUUAGUUAUACUGUUAUUCAGUUGGAGAAAUUGCCUACCUCCAUGGCCUGGGUGAUGGCAAGCUUGAUCUGUUGAGAUGUCCAGACAGGAUCAGCAUGUGCACCACCAAGAGGUUCCUACAAGUAAAGACAACAUAUCAAUCUACCCAAACUGAAAGUUCAAAAGAACGAAAAACAUCUGUGCUCAUACACACCCAGCAGAAUUUACCUCUUAUCAUAGCUCAAUGAACAAAAGAAAUGGUAAAAACGAACGUGUGGACAACCACUAGGUUAAAUUCUGAAACAAGCAAAGAAUUAGGAUUUUCAUUUGCUCCUCCCUUGGCAAAAAUUUGAUUUGUCCCAGUUAUUCAUAAGUAUGCAACAAACAGACAAAUUGUCAAACAUGGCCCCAAUAACAAAAAUAUGGAUCUUGCAAUAAAAGAGAUGAAAGCGCCUGCCUAAACUGCCUUAGUGAGGUAAAUAUUUCCUUCAUUACUGCAUUUGGCCAGGCAAAUUUUUUUUUCUCGGGUGGGAUGUUAAUACAUCCCAAUUACUUAUUCGGAUAGGAACUCACUUAUAAUAUGACAAAUGAACAUGUAGUCAACCAAGAAUCAAAUAACAGACAUCCUUUCUGAAGUUUUAGAGAUGACUACAUCUACACUAGACAGAAAGGCUUAAGAAUAUCACAGCUGCAUUAUGGUUGCUGAGGAUGAAAAAGAAACCAAUUUGAAAUCUUUUAACAGCCUUUCUAACCCAAACUGUUGAAGAACUCCAAUAAUCACUUUAAAGACUUAUGAGCAACUGAGUUACAGGAAAACGGGAAACAUGACAAUUGACCUAAGUGCUUACGGGAAUAACACCAUCUGCAAUUCUGAGCCUGUAAUGUUCUUGUGCUGUUAUCCUCAGUUUUUCAGCCGCCUGUACAAGUUUACAACUAAAUUUUAUUAAUGAAGAUAAAUCACACCCCAAAAUCCUAACUAUUUUAUCAAUCUAGUACCUUAGGAGCUGCUUGGGCAGACUUCCACAAUAUUGCAGCACAUGCCUCAGGACUGAUCACAGGAAAAGCAAUGAGAAACAAUUUGACAAAAAUCAUGGCCUAAAUUUCACAAGCAAAAGCAACAAAGCAAGAGUCUAAGACCAAUGAGAAAGAUGAAUGUUUGAGAAUAAGGAACUCAUAUAUUCCUUUCAAUUUUGUGAACAAAAUUUGAAUUGACCUAGAAAAAAAAAAAAUACUUGUAAAGUUUCCAGCCUAAUUUAAUAUCCUAUUGAAACUGUAAAUCAAAAGAAAUGAAAUUGUGAAAUACUAAAGACUGUCUAGAAUAAGAUUAUGACCGAUUCUAAUUUCAUACAACUGAAAUGUGUGCAUGUUCUUCUACUAGACCCCAUUAAAGAGAAUAGAGUGAAAGUUUGCUCAUUGAUCCAAUUAAACAUACAGAGGACAAGACCCUUUGGUAAUUAGAAAAAAAAAAGAAGAAGAAGAAACACUAGUCUAUCUGAUUGCAUAAUUAUGAAGUAGAAACAUGGCAUGAGAGAUUACAUAAUUAAUGCCUAGACACAAGAUAUAUGAUCAAAUUGUUUUAAGCUUUCAAAUGCCAAUCCAGAUGUUGGGAAGCAUUGAUAAUAAAUUAAACAUUUGAUCUUGAAAAUUUAUUUUCCAGUGAUAAAAGAGAAGUAAACCACAUCAGAGUUGACAUGGAAGUUAACAGGCCACACAUGUGGGUGAAGAUGUACUUCUCAACUCGGCAAUUGAAGAUGUAAUAUGGUUCCUUUAUAUGUUACCUACUCCUUAAAAAUUGGCCUGAUGAUAUCAUUCCUUAGAAUGAGUUUAUCAAUCCACAAAACCUUUUUAUAAUUUAUGCCAAUAAAGAAUGGAAGUUUUAGUUGUACAAGGGGCUAAUCUGCUUGUGCAUAGUGUCUUCAUCCAUGUAAAUCCCAUAUCUCUCUACUGGAAUAUUUUUAUCCUACCAGUCCUGUAUUCUAAGUUGCCAUAAGUGGAAAGGCAAGUCAUAGUCCAAGCCUGGUUGUGCCUAAUCCUAUAGCCCAACCUUGAGUAGAAAUCUCUGAAGCAAAGGAAACCAGUGGCUUCAACUCCUAUUUGGUUUAUAAGCAGAAAUUUUUCACCAAAUGAUCAUUUCAUGGCAUUUUAACAUAAUCUCUAUAAGCUGUUUCAUAAGCCUCCCCAUAAAGGGGAACCAAUUACUCAAUUCUGUUAUGGGAUAGACAAAGCCUCGCCAAGAAAGGGGAACUAAUUGCUUAAUUCUGUUAUGAGAUUGGCAAAGUAGAAAAACCUUUUAUUUUCAUUUUUUGUAACAAUAUGAUUUUUUUAACCAGUCGCUAAAAAAAAAAAAAGAGUAUGCUUAGAGAGGACCAGAAAUCACCUUGCAACGUAGAAGGCAGAAUUCUCUAGCAUAAAUAGUUUAUUGGCACAGCCAAUGGCAAGAGCUCCACCUGAACCACCUUCACCAGUCACAACUGAUAUAAUUGGAACCUUCAGGCUAAACAUAGUCCUGAGGUUUUGGGCUAUUGCUUCCCCCUGCAUACAUUAAAACAGACCAACAUGUUAAUGCAAGACCAAGGUGUCUUUAAGAUGCCAUAAGCUGCAAGAUAAAGAAAGAACUUGAAUAUACACCUGACCAAGUUCCUCAGAUUUGAGAUCAGCAAAAGCCCCCGGUGUGUCAAUAAAUGUUAUAAUGGGAAACCCAUGAUGAUCAGCGUAUUUCAUCAUCCGCAGAGCUUUCCGAUAUCUGUAUGGUGUAUUAAAAUUGAUCCUUUCCAUUAACAUGGUUAUUCCUUUUAAAAUAAAUACAUACAUAAUGCCAAAAGACCAUAAUUAUUUUCAGAAAUUUUUUAACAAAUUAAUUAAUUAAACUUUAUGGUUGAAUCCCUUAUACAUGAAUUAAUGCUGCACUUUUAAGUACCAUGUAAAGCACUAGGCAACACAGAGUACAAAUCCUCAAACCUAGAAAAUAAAAAGGCCAACUUGGCAUAAAACAUUUCAAAGAAAUUCAAAAGUAGGAGCAGCCCUGAUUAUCAUAUUAAAUUUUAAACUCACAUUUGAAUAAAAUUGCAGUUAAAAUUGAUGAAACCUAACCCACAUUCAUAACCUAAAUAUUCUAGAUCCCCAUUUGGAGAUCCUUGAAACUUACCCAUGAGGAGUUGGCAUUGCAAAGUUGCGUUCAAUGUUCUCCUUUGUAUUUCGUCCUUUCUGAUGGCCUAUGAACAUGAAGCUUUUACCAUCUAUACUCCCAAUACCAGUCACGAUGGCUGGAUCAUCAUAGCCUGCACGAUCUCCAUGGAGUUCCACCCACUUUAAGAUACAAAAAGCAUGUAAGAAAUUGUACUUCAUAUAGGAGUUACUAAUUAAAAAAAAAAAAAGGACAAAUGAUGCAGAAAAAGGUAAAUACCUUGUCCUUGUCCGUGAUAUUUAAUAUAUGAUCAAGAACUGUCGGUCUGUUGGGAUGUCGAGCAAUAGUCAGGCGUUGAAUGGGUGUCAAGUGUGCAUAUAAAUCCUUCAGAGCCUGGACAUUAAGAGAGUUAUAGAGUCUGAAUACAUGAACAUUAUUAUAAUUUAUAUUGAUGACAAAGAAAAACAGGUGUUGUUGCAUGGGAGGAGUCUUAACAAUAGAUACAAGCCCAGUAAACACGUUUAUAGCCUCAAAAGUGUAUAGUUGGCAGAAUCAAUGAAAUUCUAAUGGCAUAUGGGUUUCAUCAGGAGCAUGCAACAGUUCUGUAUUUACCCAAAACCACCCUUUAGAUUUUUUUGUUUUAGUGGAUCUAUGGCCACUACAAUGUUAGUAUGGAUGAUUUUUUAAAGGAAUUCAAAGGUUUAAGAGGUGCCCGAAAAAACAUUUUCAAACAAAUGUCUUAGAUUAGUAUUUUUUUUCUUGUAAUUAAAGUACCAAUAUAUUUAUGGUAUUAUGAAAGAAGAAUGAGGACUUUGAUUGCUAAGCCAGCUGAUACAUCAACGGACUCAAGUACCAAGUAAUCUAUAGAUCAUUCAAGCUUUCUAAAACCAAGAAAAAAAUAAAAGAUGACACCUUUCAGAAAUACCUGCUGAUACUUGCUUUCCAGAGAACUAAUUUGAUCACUAAAAUCCAGACCAGUUUCAUCAGCCAUUCUACGCACCUGUCAGAAAAAUGCUAGACUGAGCAACAGAAAACCUUACAAUGGAAGUUCAACACCAAAUCAUUUAAUGGCAAUCAUCAUUUCAAGGGAAAUAAGAAGUGUCAUACAACAGCAACAAAUGGACAAUCAGCUGCAGCCACAUUUCAAGUUAUGUUAAUAUUAUCAGAUGAGUAAAAUGAUUAUCAUGUUCUAUCUUAUGAUUCCUCAACACUAAAUGCUUAAUAUGUAUAGCAUUGCAUCCAAGAUGGCAUAUCUUAAUAUGUACAGCAUUAUUACUGCAUGAAUGGUAUAUGAAAUAUAACUUAAAAUAUCCAGAUGUUGCAUCGACUGUUUAUAGUAAGAGCAUGCUUCAAAUAUUUUAUCAUUUAUCGAAAAUUUCUUAAAUCUUUCUUUUCUUUCCUCCCUUUUUGGCAAUCUAGAUUGAUAAUAAUUAUUUUUAGGCUCUCUCUUCCUUUCCUUAAGGUUUUUAAGCUUUCAGUGGUUUUAGUCUUUUCAUUUUUUCUUUUUCCUCUCGCAAAAGCUCAGACUCUCUCAGUGACUAGAAUUUGAUAUUGCUACUUCCCAACUUCAUCUAAGAACAAAAUUUUUAAGGCAUUUUGAGAACUUCAACAUAAAAUAAAUCAUUAGAAACCUUGAGGUUGAAACUUGAAAGAUACAUACAUAUUAUAAUUUAAGGCUGUGCAACACAAGUCUAUAGUUGUACUUAUAUUGUUACAUGGCUUCUUCAAGAUCAUGAAGCAUUGUCAAAUGUAUUUCUAAACUGUAGCUGUUAUCACCAGGUAUGAUGUAAUAAAUGAUGAUCAGUAAUAUCAAAAGCAGCACACCUCAACAAUCUUUUUCUCAAGAUCGACCAGUGGUUUCUCAAAAGCAAGUGUCACUGGUUUAGGCUUCUCUUUCAGAGGCUUGAAGUAAGACAGGUAACUUAAGUGUCCACUAGAGAGAUUUGGAUCAAUAUCAUCAGGCCAGGGGUAAUCAUGCUUCUUCCCUUUUCGAAUUUUUGCAACGACGUGAAACCUGUUCCUACUUUCAAUCCUAGGGCUCCCCAAAUUCUUCAACCAUACUCCAUUUAGCCUCCUGACUGAACCUAUAAGCAAACCACCAGCAAAAAAGUCUUUGUGAAUACGUGUUUCCAAUCCAGAUUCAAUGGCCCGAUCACUGUUUCCUCCUUGACUUCCACAGUUUCUACUUAUUAAGGACAGCGUAGUCAUUUUUGUGAUCAAACCACUACAUAGAAACUCAAAAUUCCACAAGUCAAUGAUUCAAGUGCUGCAUCCCUGCAUUCAUACCCACCAAGAAACACUUUAGAGAAAGCUGUAAACAGAUUCCAAAUUUCAUAUACAGGCUUAAAUCAACACCACUAAUGUGUUUACACACUAGCCUUGGAUUUGAGAUCUGAAUUUCGAAAAACCAUCCACUGGUGUUCCCAUAAUCCAAAUUCAAUUUAUAAAGUCUUCUUAAACAGUGAAUUUGGUAUGCAACAGACCCCUAUUCAAAUCCCUGAAUUCAAAUUCCAUAUAACAAUUUGCCAUUAUACGACAGAGGAGGACGACCAAACUUGUAAACUUAAAGAAAGAACUGCAUUACUUGACAAAUUAGGCAGCUCAGUUCAUGUAUCUAAGUAUUGGCUGAACUGAUCAUUAAAGUCAAAUAUUCUCUUAGCAGAUAAAAUUAAAUUUAAAAAAGAAAAGGAAAAAAAUAUAUAACUUAUUUGCCAAAACCCGAAGAAUUCGAUUUUUAACAAUCUAUUUGUUUGUCAACUUGUCAAAAAGAAAAUAAAGCAAACUUCAUAAGACAGUCUUAAAAAAUCAAUAAAAGCAGCAUUUGAAGAUAAAACACAAUGAAAAGAUGGAGCCAUUACACAAAGUGAAGCUAUCACCACAAUCAAUGGUAUAAAAUCACUUCCAUGCUUUAUUGAAAGACCUCUGUCAGAAAACCUUAAUGUCACAGAAAGGAUAGUUGAAAAUUUCUGAAAUAGCCCCAUUCAUGAUAAUGGAUUUGCGUACAAAAUUUUAUAUGAAACAGAGUGUACAAAUCAAUUCCCAAGGGAUGCCCAAUUAUCCCCUCAGAAUUGCAUAAGCCAAAUAAAAGAGUAAUUAAACCAGCAUUCCCGGGUAAAGAGCUAAACAAAAGCAUUUCAAAUCAGAUAAUUUUCCAGUGAAGUGAAACUUUUAACAUAAUAAUCUCAUAACAACACCAAUGGACUCAAACUUCCUGAAUAACCUAUUCAAGUUCUUAUCAUAAACAUUAAUCACCAAUAAUUCAUCAGUCACAAACUUACUGCAGAACAUAAGCUUAAAAGAACAUUUUCACUAUAUCAACGACCAUAGUCUACUGAAUUCAAUUUUAGAAAGGCAGGUAAGCUUUUCUUGAAAGAAAAUUCAAAAUCUUUAACGUCAGAAGGAAAAAAUUCAACAACCCUCGCUGUCAAUGUUGGGAUCAGAAAUAUUAAAAACUAAGUAAAGCACCUUUGUUUGCUAGGAGAAUGCGCGAAAAGAAAAGAAAAUCCGCCAAUGACUGAAACAAUUCAAAACGACAUGAAGCCCAAUGUUCAUAAUUCUCUUUUCCUUCACUUUUCCUCUACUUUCUCCGCCACAGAGGGUAAAGAAACGGAAAAAGGCGAAGAAUAAGAUACGCUUUUCUUGAACGAAAAAUCGGAAAUUUUGAACAUCUGAAAGCAAAAAUCAACAACCCUCGCUGUACAAUGUUGCGAUCAGAAAUACAAAAAACUAAGCAAAGCACCUUUCUUUACAAAGAAAAUGCGCGAAAAAGAAAAGAAAAUGCAUUGAUGAGUAAAAAAUUCAAAGCAACAUGAAGCACAAGGUUCAAAAUUCUCUUUUCCUCAACUUUCUCUGCAACCAACCAGACGGGUAUAGAAGCUGAAAAAGGAGAACAAUACCUCGGAAUUAGGGUAUUUCUGAGCUUCAGAAGUGAGAGAUCGUCUGAAAAUGAGCAAAUAAAACAAGCGAGAAGUAGGCUUAAAGAACCAACGGCUGAGAUUUCGCUGCAGCAGAAAAAGUGUUUUCAAAAAACAAAAACAGCUGUUUUAGUUUUUCUUAUUUCUCAUGCACGUCCGAGUAACAGGGAGGCUUAUGUUAAAGUAAGUGGGGCGGACGGUUGUGAUUGGAGAAUGUAAGGCACGCGGUGGAGGAUGAGAGUGGAAUUGACCCAAUUGAGAGUGGUGAUCCUGAAGUGAGGCUGAUUGGUCACAUAAGAAGAUAACUCCGACCAGAAUAAAAGGGUCCAGUAGGGCCCACAGUACACGUGGUGGAUUGAGUCUUGAGUGUAGUGACUGUGCUAACAGGCUACAAGCUUCUCUAUCCAUAAGGAUGGGUGUUUGGAAACAGGUAGAAGAGGAAUCAGGUCUUAUCCUAGUGUUUUCAGUGGGAUAUGACGAAGGAUUCAGUGAGAUUCUCACGUGACAUGUGCUCAUGUACAUAAAAUAAGGAAUAAUGAAUACUUAGGACCUGUUUGGAACACAGUCUUUCCGGAAAAUAGUUUUCUCUUGUACAGAAAAAGUAAUUUUUCUUACUUAUAAAACACUUUUAAUAAAUUUUUAAGGAAAAAAAAUUAUUCUUUGAGAAUUUAUUUUUAAUAUGCCUCAUUUUUUAUAAAAAAAAUUAAUAUUUGUUGUAAAAUAAGGACAAAUACAAUGUAAAUCAAAGUAAUAAAGCUGAAAUUUAUCUUACUUUGAUAUAUAAUAGGGAAGAAGAAAUCAGAUAAGAGAGUUGAGAGAAUGAAAGAAAGAGGGAGAGAGAAUGAGAGGAAGAUAAUUUCUUUUUUUUUCUCGGGAUGUAUAUUACAGGAGAUGGGAAGCCAUUUUAUAGGCUUUCCAAAUGGCUUCCAUUAAUAUCAUCAUUAAUGAAUAUUAAUGAAACUCAUAAAUAACAUUAAUAAUUUCCAUUAAUAAGUAUUAAUGGAAGUCAUAAAUAAUACUUAAUUAACAUUAAUGCGGUGGCAUUCAUUACUUCAGUUAUAACACUCCCUCUUGAAUGUCCAUCACAUUGAAGGAAUAUGUCUCAUUAAAACCUUGCUAGUAAAAAACCCUAUAAGAAAAACCUAGUGAAGGAAAAAGAGUACAAUAUUAUUUUCUUGGUAUAUUAGGACUGCUUCAUUAAAAACCUUGCCAGUAAAACCCAGUAUGACAAAACCUGGACGAAGAAAAAAAUAGUACAGCAUACUAACACCAUUUUAUAAGCAUACUCCCCCUCAUGUCGAUAUCCUUGAGUUGACGCAUUCCAAUCUUGUGUAUUAACUUCUUGAAUGUUGAGGUUGGCAACGAUUUUGUAAAUAAAUCUGCUAGAUUAUCACUUGAGCGUAUUUGUUGCACAUCAAUUUCACCACUCUUCUGGAGUUCAUGUGUACAAAAGAAUUUUGGUGAAAUGUGUUUAGUUCUAUCUCCUUUAAUAUAACCUCAUGUUAUUUGUGCAAUGCAUGCAGUAUUAUCUUCAGAUAAUAUUGUCAGGUCGCCUUUGAUAGAGGAGAAUCCACAUGAUUCCCGAAUAUGUUGGAUCAUAGAUCUUAGCCAUAUACAUUCGUGACUUGCUUCAUGAAUUGCCAGUAUUUCUGAAUGAUUUAAUGAUGUGGUCAUCAUUGUUUGUUUAACAGAUCUCCAAUGAAAUAGCAAUAUCAUUGCAACACAUACCUUGUUUAUGACCUACCUUUAUAUGGAUCUAAAAGAUAUCUUGCAUCUGCAUAUCCAAGCAAUUAUUGCUUUGAUUCUCUUAAGUAAAAUAAACUCAUAUCAGUAGUUCCACGAAGAUAACGCAAUAUAUGUUUGAUACCAUUCCAAUGUCUUCGAGUUGGAGUGGAAUUGUAUCUUGCUAAUAAAUUGACAUAAAAAGCAAUGUCUGGACGUGUACAAUUGGCAAGAUACAUAAGUGCACCAAUAGCACUAAGAUAUGGUACUUCAGGACCAAGUAACUCUUCAUAUUUUUUGCAAGAACGAAAUGGGUCAUUUUUUCACAUCAAGUGAUCGGACAACCAUUGGAGAACUUAAAGGAUGUGCUUUAUCCAUAUAAAAACGCUUCAAAACUUUCUUAAUGUAUGUUGAUUGAUGUACUAAAAAUCCAUCUGGAAAAUGCUCGAUCUGUAGGCUAAGACAAAAUUUUGUUUUUCCAAGAUCUUUCAUCUCAAAUUCCUUUUUCAAGUAAUUUGUUGUUGUUGUGAGCUCUUCAAGAGUUCCAACAAGAUUUAAGUCAUCAACAUACAACAUACACUGCAAUAAUUGCAAAUCCGGUUUCUAAUUUCUUAAUGAAGAUGCAUGGGCAUAUGGGAUUAUUCACAUACCCUUCUUUUAGCAAGUAUUCGCUAAGGCGAUUGUACCACAUGCGUCCAGAUUGCUUUAAUCCAUAUAAGGAUCGUUGUAACUUGAUUGAGUACAUGCUACGAGACUUUGUACUAUUUGCUCCAGGCAAUUUAAAUCCUUCAGAGAUUUUCAUGUAUAUAUCAUUAUCUAUGGAUCCGUAUAAAUAUGUUGUAAUCAUCCAUGAAAUGCAUAUCCAGUCCUUCUAAGACUACCAAACUAAUUAAGAAACGAAAUGUGAUUGCAUCCAUGACGGGAGAAUAUGUUUCCUCGUAGUCAAUACCAAGUCUCUACGAGAAACCUUGUGCUUCUAAUCGCGCUUUAUAUCUUAUGAUCUCAUUAUUCUUAUUGCAUUUUUAUACAAAUACCCAUUUGUACCCAAUAGGCUUUACAUCUUCAGGUGUUUAGACUAUAGGUCCAAAAACUUCUCGUUUUGUUAGUGAGUUUAAUUCUGCCUGUAUAGCUUCUUUCCAUUUUGGCCAAUCAUUUCUAUGUCGACAUUCUUCCACAUUUCGUGAUUCGGGAUCUUCAUCAUUUCUUAUGACUUCAUAGGCCACUUGGAAAGCAAAAAUAUUGUUAAUAACAAUAUUAUUUCAAUCCCAUUUUUCUCUCGUGUGUACAUAACUUACUGAGAUCUCACAAUUUUCAGGUACUUGUGCCUUUUCAGGGGCUUCUUGUUUAAUAUGUGCCUCUUCGGGAGCUGUUCAAUAUGUGCCUCUUCAGGGGCUUUCUGCAUUAUUUGUGCCUUUUAUAAGGCUAUAGAUUUAUCAAUUUUAAAUUGAUCAGUCAUUUUGAUGGUUUCUUCUAGAGUGCCAAGUUUUUCUUGGGUUCUCCUCUUCCGGGGAGUUACAUCAUUUGAGCCGACAGGUCUACCACACUUCAGGCGUAUCUUAGAUUCAUUUGUUAACUGUCCUACAAGGACAUCAAUCCGUGUUGGAGUAUUUGCAGCUAGGAUAUGUGACUUUGUCACUUUCUUUGUAUCAAUGAAUGCAUCUGGUAAUUGAUUUGCAAGAUUUUGCAAAUGAAUGAUCCUUUGAACUUCUAGUUCACAUUGAUUUGUAUGAGGAUCAAGAUGGGUUAUAGUAGAUGUCUUCCAACUAAUUUCUCUUCGUUCUUCAGGAAUCGACUUUUCUCCCCCUAAUGACAGGAAAACUCUCUCAUUAAAAUGACAAUUCGUAAAGCGGACUGUAAAAACAUCGCCUGUCAAAGGUUCAAGAUAUCUUAUGAUAGAUGGAGAAUCAAAACCUACAUAAAUCCUAAGUCUUCGUUGGGGACCCAUUUUAGUGCAUUGUGUAGGUGCAAUUGGUACAUAUACUACAUAACCAAAGAUUCGUAAGUGAGAAAUAUUUGGUUGUUUUCCAAGCACAAGUUGUGAAAGGGAGUAUUCAUGGUAAGUUGUAGGUCGAAUACGGACUAAAGCUGCAGCAUGCAUAAUAGCAUGUCCCCAGGCGGAAGUAGGUAAUUUGGUUUUCAUUAGUAAUGGUCGAGCUAUUAAUUGGAGACAUUUGAUGAAGGAUUCUGCUAAACCACUUUGGGUAUGAGUAUGAGCAACAGGAUGCUCAAUAUUUAUCCCUACUGACAUGCUAUAGUCAAUGAAUGUUUGAGAAGUAAAUUCGCCAGCAUUAUCAAGACAUAUUGUCUUAAUUAGAUAAUCUGGAAAUUGUGCUCGUAAUCUGAUUAUUUGUGCAAGGAAUCUAGCAAAGGCAACAUUACGUAUAGAAAUGAGACAAACAUGUGACCACCUAGUAGAAGCAUCUAUUAAGAUCAUAAAAUAAUGGAAUGGUCCACAUGGUGGAUGGAUAGGCCCACAUAUGUCCCCAUGUAUUCUUUCUAAAAAGACUGGUGACUUAGAUAUGACUUUAGUAAAAGAUGGUCUGAUUAUCAAUUUACCUUGUGAGCAAGCAGCACAUGAGUAUCCAUUGGGCAACAGAAUCUUCUAGUUCUUUAGUGGAUGCCCAUGUGAGUAUUCGAUUAUUCGAUACAUCAUUGAAGACCCUGGGUGACCUAGCCUAUCAUGCCAAAGGACAAAAACUUUUGGGUCGUUGAACUUCUGGUUCACGACAAUUUAUGAUUCAAUAGGCUUUAUAGUUGUAUGAUACAACCCAAAGGAGAAAGCUGAGAGUUUUUCCAUUAUAAGCUUCUGGCCAGAUAUAAUGGAAGUAAUGUAAAAAUAUUCUACAUUUUCUUCAUUCAUAGUUUCAAUAUGAUAUCUAUUUCUGCGGAUAUCUUUAAAAAUGAGCAAAUUUCUUCUGGAUUUGCUAGAAUAUAAAGCGUCAUUUAUAUGGAAUCUAGUUCUAUUUGGCAAUGUUAUGUUUGCUCUUCUAAAGCCUUCAACUAAGUUUGUAGUACCAGAUAUAGUACUUACAUUAGCUUUUAUUAAGGUCAAUUCGAAAAAAUAUCUUUUAUCUCGAAGAAUUGUGUGCGUGGUUGCACAGUCUGCGAGACAUACAUCAUUCUCAUUCAUCUUGAGACCAAAUAACACAUGAAUUUUAGAUAUAACUAAAAAAACAAGGCAUAAUGUAAAUAACAAAAGAAAAUUAAAUGUAAAUAUAAGACAUAAUAAUAUAUUAUUUCAUAUAUAAAGUAACAUCAAUCAAUGUUAAUUUUCUCAUCAUUUAUCAAAUGGUCUGUUUUUUCAUUAGGACCUCCAAAGAAAUCAAUGUCAUAGUAGGUUAGGUCCAAUCCAUCACCAUCGGUAAAGUUCAUCUCUAUCUCUUUUCCUUUUGCUUUUAUUGAUGCUUGGUAAAGGUCGACCAAAUGUUUGGGCGUACGACAGGUACGUGACCAAUGCCCCUUCAUACCACAUCUAUAACAAUUAUUCUUAUAGUUCUUAGGAGGUUUAUUUAGUAAACGCUUCCUAUUUUCUUGUUUUGCCUCAGUAUUGUUCCAUUUUGUAUUGUUCCACUUCUGGUGGUGCAAUGAGGCUUCCAUUUUCUGAGAAUUAUUAUUAUAAGAACCAUGGUAUCGGGGAUUUCUUCCACGACCACAACCACGUCCACGAGUUUGGGACGAUAUUGCAUUUACUUCAGGGAAUGAUUCAAAUCUAGUUGGAUGGGACUAGUGAUUUUUCAUCAAAAACUUUUUUUUUUUGAAAAACCUUUAUGGAGAUGAUGACGAAGGAAAAUCAGUGUUUUUAUGCGAUCCUACAGGGAUGCUUGAUUUCCUUCUUUAAUCAUAGCUCCAUGAUUAUUGUAUCAAGAUGUAUUUCAACAUCAAUGAUCCAAGAUAGAGAGUUCUUUCUCGAAAUGUCCAGUGCCACAAAUUUGAGUUUUGUGAGAUUCGACAUUGUCAAAUAAUUUCAAAUAUAUGACAAAACAAUAUUAUUAGAAUCAAUUAUAAUAACUUGAUAGCAUUGGUAUAACUUUUAUUAUAAACAAAAUCAAAUAAUUUGUUUAUAACUUUUAAAAAUAUGUAACAAAACAAAUCAACAAUAAUAUAAAUAUGUAAAAUUUUAUUCUAUAUAAAUAACUUCAAGUUUAAUAUACGAGAAUUAUCUUUAGAGCAAUUCGUGCUGAUAACGUGUUGUAAAAUAAGGACAAAUACAAUGCAAAUCAAAGUAGUAGAGAUGAAAUAUAUCUUAUUUUGAUAUAUAAUAGGGAAGAAGAAAUCAGAUAAGAGAGUUGAGAGAAUGAAAGAAAGAAGGAGAGAGAAUGAAAGGAAGAGAAUUUCUUUUUUUUUUCGGGAUGUAUAUUACAGGAGAUGGGAAGCCCUUUUAUAGGCUUUCCAAAUGGCUUCCAUUAAUAUCCUCAUUAAUGAAUAUUAAUGAAACUCAUAAAUAACAUUAAUGAUUUCCAUUAAUAAGUAUUAAUGAAACUCAUAAAUAACAUUAAUGGUUUCCAUUAAUAAGUAUUAAUGAAAGUCAUAAAUAAUACUUAAUUAACAUUAAUGUGGUGACAUUCAUAAAUUCAAUUAUAACAAUAUUAGAGUGUUUUCAAGUGUUUUUAAUAACUUGUUUAGAAUAUUUUUUAAAACAAAUGUAAAUAUGAAUUACAUUCUAAAAAAAAUCAUAAGAGAAAAAAAAAAACAGUUUUAUAUUUGAUUUUUUUUUUAAAUAGAAUUUCAUUUCUGAAACAAUUGAGAAUAUGUUUAAGAACCCAAAACUAUAUUUUGAAAACUAUUUUGGAGGAUGUUUUCCAAGUAGAUCGUAAAUGGGUGAGGGUCCUAAGUCAUGGAUAUUUUCAAAGACUAUUUUCUGAAAAUCAUUUUCGAAAAUAUUAUCAAAGAAACCGAACCCACCGGCUCUUUUGAUUUCAAAUUUAUGUAAACACCAGAUAUGAAUGAAAUGAAAGAGAAUCACUCGUAUUGAUUUCACCAUAUGGAAAUCAAGUAAACAUGCACAAAAUCCAAGCCUCCACUGAGAAGAUGAAUUAUAGUGAAGAAAUAAGCCUCCUAUGCCAGCAUUCACACUAUUCACAGAUGGAAAGUUAUCUCCAAGAAAAUACGUUUCCCACCCACCUGAUGAUCACAGAAUCAAGUAUACCUGCUAUUUUGUAAUGCCAUAGUUGAAGUCACCAUCUUCCCAACAUUCUGCAAUUAUUCUUUCUACUCCUCAGCUGCUUAUGAGCUGAGAUCUGGGAACAGGAAAAACAGGAAGAACCCUUCCCGUUAAUACAUUUUUCCAGUUAACAAGUCUAGUGAUAUAUACAAUCCAUUUUUCAUGUAAAGUCUGGCAAACAACAAGUGAGCAACAAAAUCCCUGCAAUACAACCUGGGCUGUCCUCCAAAAAAUUGUCCAGCUAGGAGAAUCCCAGUGAAAAAAAAAAAAAAAAACUCAACACUGAAACAGGCAACCCAUGUUCAAGUAAUCUCCGAUUAGUCUCAACUCAGUUUCUCUGGUUUUGCUAACAAAGCACAAUGGGGGCAUCACCAGCUGGGCUGCCGCAGUUUCCACCCAAACACUCAUGGGGAACCCAAGCCACAAGGCACCACCCAGAAGCGUCCCAGAAGACACAUGAAUUAAACCAUACAACAUAGACCCAACAACAGGACAACAAAGCAGACCAUAAAACCUAAACUGAAUUUGCUUUAGUCACAAGUCUAUCUAUUACCUAGGAGAUAUUAACUAACCACUAAAUUGAGUUUCUGAUGGAUGGAAUGUUGUUAUCAAUAUGCUUUUAUACUUUUAUACUGUCAUCAUGUUGAACUGAAACCUGGACAGCUGCUGUGGGAUUGUUGAAAUAACCGGCCCGUACCUCUGCAACCAGGUAACAAACCAUGUUAAACCCUGAGGGACACACAAGGAUGAAAAUAUCCAUGAUGUUUCUGAUGUUUCCAUACAAAUAUCCAUAAUUUAGAGGUACUGAUGUUGAAAAAUAGGGUAUGGUUUCACCGAUGUUUGAUUAUCAAUUCCCAUAAAUGUCAUAUAGACUUUCAAAUAUAACAAAAAAUGAAAUCUAAACAAUUUUUUAUUCCUGAUACAAUGUGGAAAGGAAUCAAAAUACUUGUAUCUGAAUAUAUAAACUCUAUUCUAUGAUACUGAUAUUAGUUAAUAUUUUUUUGUUGUCUAAUAUUAUUAUAUCAUACUCGUGUUAUUUUCUUUAAGAAUCUAGUUUAAUAUGUAUAUUAUUACCUGUUUUAUCAUUUGCUAAAGUUUCAUUCAAAAUUUCCACAUUUUUUUCUCAAUUUUUGUGAAUUUUAUUUUUUUUUUUACAAAAACUUUUCACUUAUAUUAAUAUUUCCAUAAAAUCAAAAUAUCAAUAUUUGUUCCAUCAAAACUGAUAUUUUCAUUGGUGGCAACACAUGUUCAAAGCUAACACAUCUGAUCAGUUUAUCCUUCAUGGCAUUUUAAAACCAAUUAUGCGUUAUUCUUUUUAGCCCUUUGAAGAACAUGUCUUGGUCAAAUUCUUAAAGCUACAGCCAGCAUUUGAAGUUCCAACCCAGGGAGACAGGUCUAGUUCUGACACAAAAUGAAGGAACAAAAUGUUCAAUAUCUCCAUACCUGAACAUUAUCAUAUAGCUCAAACAGGGGAACAGCUAGCAGUUUCAAAUUUUUCGGUACAGCAAAAUACUCUCGUUCAGAUAAAUGGACAAUGAAAAGCUUCUUACACUCCUGGAUCAUAAAAGCAUUUUCAGUUCAGGAAAGUUCAGAAGAACUUGCCGCAAAAACUAUAGCCAUGUCAUUUUAAAGAGGAAUUAUACUCUACCUUGGGUUUCGUGAUAUGGGGAGGGCAGUAUGGGUACAUUAUAGUCUCAAAAUUUGGCCUCCACCAAAUAGCCACACACUCUCCAAUCUGCAACAAAAUCCAACUAGUAAUUAGACAUGAAUUUCCACGGCAAAAUGAUAUUGUAAUACAAAGAGGGCCAGCAUUAUUUUUAAGGAAAUAAUAACAUUCUUUAUUGACAAAGACCAACGAAAAAGAAAUUCAGAAUGUCCCAGAAACAGCCAGAAUGUGAUCGGAAGGUAACAAACAAGGAAUCGACUGGAAAAUGAUUGGAUUAUUUUUUUGAUCUUCAACACUUCCAGUUAACAUUUCUUAUUCCACAUGUUCGUGCAGAGAGUAGGGGCUAGCCCUACCUCUGAUAUGAGCAUUCAAAUAUUAAAAGUUCUGAUGGAACAAACCUGCCAAUCAGGUUGAAGUGCAAGCGAAUUAGCAGCUAGUUUGCUUGACAGUUUCCUUUUCAAACCUUCAAUUUCUGCAAAAAUUUUGAGGAAAAAAUAAGACAUACACACAUGGAUACACAUACAUAGAAGUCGGAGCAAUGGAUCUAAAAUUGCACCAUUUUCUCCAGGCUUCAAACGGCCACCAGGGAGCUUGCAAAAUGUGUUUCCAAUUUGCAGAAGCAGAAUGUGUGGAUGGUUAUGCUCUUGCACCUGCAAGUUGAAGCUAAUCACUAAGUAAAUGAACAAAUAAAAAUUUCUAUAAUGACACCGUGAAGUUUGUUCACAUGAUAUCACAGUUAGAAAACAUGUUCUUGGUGAGAAGUAUUGCGCUUGGGGACAAGGAAUGAGCUCAGUAACAAGCAAUCAGAUUCAUUUGAGCUGAUCACAUUAUGUUCUACAGGGGAAAUAGUACACAAAGCUACCAAGAACUCAACAAAAUAAGAAAAAGCUAAAAGGAAAAAACAACUAGAAGCAUCCUGAACACGGUUUUAGGAGCAAAUGAAGUGUCACAUUACAUUGGCUUUUGGAAGAGAACUAAUAGAAAUUAUUCACCAAUGGACAUUACAAGGACAGGGGAGGAGUUAAUGACAGGUUGGCAGACUCUGUAACUGAGGCAGUGUAGGUGGCUGAGGACCACUGUAUCAGGAAUAUUAGCUUAUUUUAUGACAAGGAUUUGGUGAUGGAGGAGGUAAGGAUAAUGAGAGUGGUGACACUUCUCUGUCAUUCUUUCACAGAUAACAAAACAGUAAAUUAUAAGGACCUGGCCUGGAAAUUCUAAAACAAACAUGGACCCUUCUCUGUCAUUUUGAAAUGACAUGGACCUAACCUUCAUGUUAUUGAAACUCUUCUUUCAGUUUUAUCCUUGACAAACUUCUUCUAGAAUAGCAACUAUAACAUGAAGUUUCCAGUUAGGUUCACUGAUUCCACAAGGUCUACUCCCCACCCUCUUCCAGUUAGGUUCACUGAUUCUACAAGGUCUACUUCCCACCCUCAUCAGGACUAGGGAUUUAUGUGUAUGGUUGUUCUUAGCCCAUCCCCUGUGAACCAUAAAUAAUGUUAAAAUCGUUAAAAGCAUUUGAUUUGAAUUGCCUAUUUCAAUUUAAAUGAAAAAAAAAUCAAGUCUCAUCCAUCACCUUUUAAUACAUUGGGCAUAUUUUUCAAAUCGUAUUAUUGCAACAUAGCUUCAUACAAGUAUAUUAAUAGAAUAAGAUAUAUGAUGGGAGAUAUUCAACCCAACAAAUUUAAAAUAAAGCAGGAUUUAAGGUCAAGAUGGUAACACUUACCAGCAGGAUUGCUUCAACACUAGUCCUCAUGCCUUCUUUCAUGUAACUAUGAAUCAAAAAUAAAAUGAUAGCAAGAUGAGAUAAUACCAAACAAUAGACAUGUAGUGAAAAGAUUUAGAACUUUUGUGUAUAGACCAACAAAAUCAUAAUUCUCUUCUUGUUCAUUUUGCUCUCAUAGAGCAAGACCUUGGGAGUUGUAUCUGUUUUUUCUUUCUUCUGUUGUAAUUUUUCUAUGACUUAAAUUAAUUCUCUCCUAUCUGUGGAUGUAGGCAUGAUAAGCUAACAACAUUUAAUCUCUAUUGAUUGGAAAGUUUGUUUUCUCAUGGCUAUAACCAAAAUAAAGUAAUUCAAACUGAUUUCUUGACAAUUUCCAGCAUUCUCUCAAGAAGCAAAUAGGAGAACAACUCCUUUUUUUUUUUAGAAUAAAAAUAAACUACAGGUUCUAACAGCUUCUCCCUCAAUCCCUAUUUUGUGCAAAGGAGGGUUGGUGGGGCUGAUUAGGAAUGCUAGGGCCUUUCCUUUGAAAGGAGACCAGAGAAAGAAGAGCUAUGCUAUUGACUAACCAUUUGGUACCAACUUCGAAUCAAUAGCCCCCUUUUUUCUCAUUUUGUUUAUUGAACUUGACAUUUGAAAUUAAAAAUUUUUUAACUUUUUGUUUGGUUAAAAUUAAAAUGAAAAAAAAUGGAAUCUUAUUUGGUUGACCAAAAAUGAUCAACUAAACACACAGGAUGGCAGAAAGUUGUAUCAGGCAAAUAGACCCAACAGGGAAAAAGGUUUUUGUUUUCUCAGCACCAUCACAAAUAAAUAAAAUAAAAAAAUCAUUACCAACAUCAAUUUUUCCAGCAUUUCCUUGGGAAUCAGGCUACCUUCUUUUAUACAAUAGAAUAAACCUUAUUCAAUUUGACAUUUCAAACCAGAUUUUGAAUGCCCAGUGUUCAGUGAGGACAUUUCAGUUUACCAAAAAUUAUAGGCCAAAUCAACUAAUAUCAGGCAAAUAGAAUCAGAUGGGUAAAGGGUUCUCUGAUCAUGAAAUUAUACCAACUUUUCCAGCAUUUCCAGAGAACCAAAAGGGGGAUUAACCAUUUUCUGUAGAAAUGAAUAGACCCUCAUGGAUUUGACAUUUAAAGUAAAAACUCUUGAUACCCUCUAUUUGGUUCCCGAGAAAACAGUAGAAAAAUAAUGAAUCUUACUAGUUCAACCCAAAAUGGUGGGCUAAAGCCUAAAUUCAGCUAAUGUUUUAGACAGUUGAUCGGGCUGGGGCCUGGGCUCAACUGAGGAAAGGGAUUUUGUAAUAUAAUCAGCACUAAACCAAAAAAAUUAUUUUCCAAAAAAAAAAAAAAAAUCGUGGCAUUACAAGGGAACCCAACUGAAACAUUCCAGAAUUUGACAUUUGAAAUAACAAUACUGAGAAACCCUGCUGAGAAAAAAAUAUAAAAAUUUUAAAAUAACAAUAAAAAACUAGAAUGUUUUUCAGUUCACGAAAAAGAAUCAGCUAAAAUUGGGCACAUAGUAGCAUCAGUCUUAUAGGCUCAGCUGAAAAAAUGAUUUUAGUAAUCUAAUCAUCACAACAACAACAAAAAUAUUUAAAAACUCAAUAUUAACCGGCAUUUUCUGGGCAACCAAACAUGGAAAAUCAACUCCUUGUUUGUAUAACAGAAGAAAGCCUCACGAAGUUGACCUUUGAAAUCAAAAUCCUAAAUGAUUCUCUGUCAGUUGCUGGUGAAAUUAUCUUAAUCUUUUUCAGUUUACUAGAAACGAUACGCUAAAACUUCGCGGUACGCUAAAAGUUCGUCGUACUCUGAAUUUUCGCAGAUUGCCGCAUCAGCCUAAUGCCCUCGACUGGGAAAAGGGUUUUUGCAAUCUCAUCAAAACUACAACAAAAAAAAUCAUAAAGAAACAAUUUUUCUCGAAAUUUUGUCGCGAAUCAAACAGGCAGAGGUUUUAGGGUAGGAAAAAACUCACUUCACUUUCAUGCGAGCAAGACGAUCGGCCACGGAUGUAUCCUUUUCCAUCUUCGGCUCCUUGGUACCGAAGGUGUAGCUCGACAAUGGGUAUGUGUUCACCACCGGCGAAGUCACCAUCUCUCUCCUUGCUUCUACUUCUUCUGUAGAGUCUGAUUCCGAUUGGCAGCCACCGUCGUUUUCUCCUUCGGACAAGAAAUAUGUAUUGCGCCAAUGAAAAUACAUUUUUACCCUUCAUUAUUUAUUUAUUUUGGGAAUGGAUGGAUGGAUGGAUGGAUGGAUGGUGAAAUAAUUUAGAAAAUUUUAGUCAUGGAACUGUUGGGAUUGUUUUCAAAAAAAUAUGUUUAAAUUUUUUCAAAAAUAAAAUUUUAUUUCAACCUCGAAUAUGAAAACAAUUUUCCAACUUUCAAAAUAUUUUUCAUAUUUUUAAUUAAAAACAAAAACCUCAAAAAUGAUUUUCUCAUAGAAAUUUAUUAUUCUUAAUGUUAGAGUUAAACAAAACCUAAUUUUAAGGAGAACAUAAAAAGUUAAAAACAAUAAAGAAGAUUGGAUUGUUCAAAUUUAAUAAAAAUAAAUUAUACACAGCAUAUCCUUCAAAACAUUACCAAUUUUUAAUAUUUUAUUAGUAUUAUUGUGCAACUAAUCCGAUGCAUAUUAUAUAAAAUUAAUUAAUUUUAAAAAAUAGGUAAAAAGUGUGUGUUGUUUUAAAUUAAUUUUGUCCUUAAUUUUUAUGUUGAUAAUAUUAUGCAUUUUAUCAAAAAAUAAUUAGUUUUAAAGGGUAUGUAACAAGACGUAUAUUAUCUGAAAUUAAUUUUAUUCUCGAUUUUAAUAAAAUUAAUAAUUAUAUGAGAAUCUUCCAAGGCAUAUGCAUUAAAAAAAAAAAAAAAAGCAAAACUGCUUUUUUUUGGGGAUUUUACAAUUUGUUUUUUUUUUAAAAAAAAAAAAACCUCUUUUUAAAGAAUUAAAAAAAAUCAUUUGAAUAAAUAAAUUUUAGCUGUUUACUUUUAAAUAUUUAAUUUUGUAAAAAAUUAUAAAUUUUAUUUAUAGAAUAUUGACUAAAUUUAAUCAUGUCUCCUUGAAAAUAAAAUAUAUAUAUAUAUAUAUAUAUAUAUAUAUAUAUAAUUGCAUAUAAAUUUAAAAAUAAAUAGAUUUAGUAAAAUAUGAAUAUUAAUAUUAUAACACAAUCAUGAUUUAUUUUUUAUUAAAAAAAGAUACUAUUUUAAGAUAUUAUAAAACAUACAUCCAUUUUAUCCAUAAUUUGCAAUAUAUUAAAAAAAAAAUUAAAAUUGAACACGUAAAUAAGUCGAAUCAAUCUAUCACUAGCAUUAGGAUGGAUUACCUUAAGACUUCACAACCAAAAUCACAUACAAUUUUGCAUUUUUCCAUCUUAUUUAUAACAUGAGAAUCAUAUCUUUUCACACCUUAGGAUAACAAAUUUUCAUAUCUUUUAUUUAAUAUAUUAAUUCUCCCGUUCACCUAGACUUUAAAAAAAAAAAUUAGAAGUAGAAAUUAAUCUGAAUUUCUUGGGGGUAUUAGUGUUAUCAUGUAAAAUAACACUCUAAAAUAAAAUAGGUUAUAUAGAUGAACAAUUAUUAAAUAAAUAAAAAGUUCUAUUGAUUUUCCACAAAUCAUGAAUUCUAUCAAUUUUGAUAAAUGAAAAACAUUUUUUUUUUUUUUUUAUCACAAUGUCAUUUUUUAUAUAUAUUAUAUUGUUGAAAAAAAUGGAAAUAAUAAUGCAAAAUAAAUAAAUUAUUGAAACUGAAAAAGGUUAAUAUGGUCAUUUAACAUUUCACUUAUAUUUAUUAUGUUGAUCUUCCUAUUCCGUGUUUUGAUUUCACAACGGACGCCUUAUGAAGAGACCGUACAGCUGAGUGAAUUAUGCUGUUUGGCUGCCGCGAAAACACGAGAAAGACGAAGCGAAUAUAAAAUUUAUUGCUUCACGCGAGAAAACAAAAUACUGGACUCGGUAUGUCAAAUCAAACAGCUUGUAUAAGCUGAGUUCAUUUAUUUAUUUAUUUUGAAGAUCAAAACAAACACGUAACAUAGUAUUCAAACUUUUGUUGUCUCCAGAAUUUUUUAUUUUAUUUUUUUCUCGGAAGCCAAACACAUCGAGACUGCAUGUUGCAUGGCCAUGAAUGUUGUUUAGUUGCCCUGAUUGCUUCUAAUUCAUCAGUUUGAGAGAUAUUUUAAUGAAUUUAUACGGUUUUGCUGAAAUUAGGCAAUCUUAUGGUAAUCUGGUGGUUGUGGAGAAGGUUUUGAAUAUUCUUUUAAAUGCAUCUGGACUUGGAUGAGUAUAUUUGAUUACUGAUAUAGCUAAAUUAGGGCGGCGGUUUGGUGGUUGGGAAAAGUAGCUGGGGAAUGGUACUGGAAAACAUCUGUUGAUUUUGUGGUUGUCGUCUGGUUGCAUAACUUUAAUACAUGUAAUAUGGAAAGUUGGGCUGCUAAAAAAAAUUGGGAUGCCGCUUGACACUUUCUGGGAGGCAGACCAGCUUUGUAAGCUUAUUAUGAUGCAAAUUUCUCAAUUAUGUUGCUUACCUAUAUCAUCAUACUAUAAGCUCAACAAGUUCAUUCGACGUUUAGCAAAAUUAGCACCUGGAAUGGUACUGGAAAUCCUUUGUCGUUGUAGUAUAGUAGUUUGUUGAUGGUAUUUGUUGCUUCUUCAUAUAGCCAGAAAGUGUUUAUUUUAUUUUUGGUAUUGGGAGCUGUAUUUCAGGAAUUAGGUGGAUUGCCAUCCUUGUUCACCUCAUCUAAUACAAAUUCUUCGAUUACAUAGCUUACUAUAAUUUAGGUGGUGUUUGUUUUUUGGCCGAAUAGAAAAAGGCAAAAUAUUUGACUUUUUUUAUUCAGCUAAAAGUAACUUAUUAACAUUACCCAACAUAACUAAAGUGAACUUGUUAUCAACACAUUUUCUCCUCAUGGCUGCAUUUUCCAUUGAAACAAUUAGGGCAGAGACCUAUGAUGCAUUUUUUUUCCCCUCAACAAACCAUAAUUUUGGUUUUGUAGGUGAAUUCUCAUUGCUGUGGGGAUUUCAGGGAUCAAUGGACAACAAGGAUAGGGACGAGGUUCAUGAUUGUGUGAUCAAGCUGGUUAGCAUAAUUUUCAUUUGGUUCAAUUUUAUUUAGCCUGAUAUAGAAAGCAGUAGGACAAGUGACUAGAUUAUUUUAAUGGCAGAGGGUUAAUCCUCAGAGAAGAAGUGAAAAGGUUUACAUUGGUUGUGGAGCUGGGUUUGGAGGUGACAGACCAUUGGCAGCACUCAAGUUACUUCAGAGAGUUAAAGAGCUAAACUACCUUGUGCUUGAAUGCCUAGCAGAGCGGACCCUUGCUGAACGCUACCAAGUUAUGGUGUCUGGUGGUGAUGGCUAUGAUUCUCGGAGUGCGUCUUCAUCUGACCAAUUGUUGCCUUUUUUUGUUAUGCUCACUACAUUAAAUGGUUGAUGUGGUUUUGGAUAACCCAAUGCUUUUUCUUCUUGUUUUUUCUCUCAUAGUUUUCAAUGAUGAUGCAGUUUCAGAUUGGAUGCAUGUGCUCUUGCCAUUGGCCACAGAAAGAGGAACUUGCAUAAUUACCAACAUGGGUGCAAGUAAGAAAUUAACAACUUUGAACUAUUUUAUGCAAACUGCAAUUGGUAUUCUGUUUUUUUAUUUUCCCUUUUUUUGGGGGGGAAGUGGAUCCACCUGGUGCUCAGGAAAAAGUUCUGGAAAUAGCAAGCAACCUGGGGCUUAGUAUCACUGUUGCUGUGGCUCAUGAGGUUGCUUUAGAAAAUUCAGGUAUUUCUUGGACAUCUAUGAAAGGUGCUGAAUGAAUUUAAUCAAUAUUUGAGGGCAUUUCGAGAUGCCAACUUUUAAAUCAUCCUUUUUCCAAUUGAGUUUGCAUAAUUUGAUAUUAUGCACAAUCUUUUUUUUCUUCUUAUGAACUCCUCAAACUUACAAUAUGAUCAUUUUUCCCUCAUUUGCACAUUCAGGAUUGGAAUCCCCACCUAAACAAUCUUAUAUUAUGGAAGGCGUAAGAAUCCAGAACUCCUGUUCAUACUUUUUGUUAAUACUCAAUGUUAUUACCUGCUAUGUUGUAUUCACUCACUGUUCACUCCUUUUUCUUGGUCUCUUUUCAUUGCAUUUUAUUCACACAAACAUUUAUUGAUGAUUAUUAGUGAGCACUGGAAGGUGCAUAAGCACAUGCUUGCUCAUAAAAAUAUUUGACGGAUGCAAGAUUUUCUCUUUUAUUCAUUUAGUAUUUAUUUUUGUUGGUUUGGGCACCAGCUGAUGAGAAUUGAGCCAGAACACUUGUUUCCUCUUCUUAAUGUCCAACUCUUUGCUUAUUUAUUUUUAAACUUCUGUUCUAUGAAGGGUAAAAGCACAUAUCUGGGAGCAGCUCCCAUUGUUGAAUGCCUGGAAAAGUACCAACCAGAUGUCAUAAUUACUUCACGGGUUGCUGAUGCUGCCUUGUUUUUAGGUCCAAUGGUAUGAACUAUUAUUCUCUCCUGUCGCAUUUUGUGUUUUUGAGAUUUCUGCAAUAUAUUGCCAUGCUUUUUUCCACUUUCUGAAAUUAGGUUGGCAUUUUCCUGUCAGGCCUGUGGUGUUAUUUCUUGCUUGUUAUAUUGUUUCUUCAAAAAUUUUAUCACUUGGUUAACUUUGGCUUAAUUGUUAGUGUACAUCAAUGCGUUAAGCAAUCAAAUAUGAUGAUACAGUGAAGUAGACUUCGGAAUAUAUUAAAUCAAUGAUGAACAUUACAUUUUUAGAAAAGGGUGUUUUCUACUCUAAAAAUGGAUCAAGGAUCGAGCACAUAUCAUCUUUUCAACUCCAUUGUUUGGAAGAAGCUUGGAAGUUGAUUCAGAUUUGUGUUGAUAUUCAUGAAGGAAAAAUUAUUGGAACUUCAUGCUACAAACCAGAAAGGUCAUAUAAGCAAUAACGACAAAUAUUUCAAUAAAAUUUUAUUUAUUUUUGUUUUUUGAUAAUCGCUUGAAGAAUGGAAUCUCUGAAUUGUAUAUGGCAUUGUGAAGGAAUAUAGUCAUUUUGUUCAUUGCUUUGUAUCUGCAUGGUUAGAUUUAUGAACUAGGUUGGAACUGGGAUGACAUAAAUCAGUUGGCACAAGGGUGUCUAGCUGGUCAUCUUCUGGAGUGUGGCUGUCAACUCACUGGAGGAUUCUUCAUGCAUCCAGGUGUACUUUUGUUUUAACUUUUAGCAACUCUAUAUUAGCAUGAUCGCUACCUUCUUUAGGUGGUAAUCUUUGUUUUUUUGUAAUGCAGGAGACAAAUAUCGAGACAUGUCCUUUCCACAUCUCCUUGAUUUAUCACUUCCUUUUGCUGAAGUUGGUUUUGAUGGAAAAGUAUACCUAGGAAAGGCAGAGGGCAGUGGUGGGGUGUUGAAUUUUAGUACUUGUGCUGAACAACUUCUUUACGAGAUUGGGAACCCAGGUGCUUAUGUUACCCCUGAUGUGGUAAGUUACAUAUGGAGAUUCGCAUGACUUGAAGUUGUCAUGGUCGAAAUUAAGUAUACUAAGGAAAUGGGAAAUGGAGAAACUAAACUGAAAUAUAUUUCCAUUAAAUUAGGUAAUAGAUGUUCGGGACGUUUCAUUUCAGCCAUUAUCAAGAAAUAAAGUUCUCUGCAUUGGAGCAAAAGCAUCUGCUGAUUCAGUGCCUGAUAAACUCUUGCAGCUGGUUCCAAAGGUAACUUCCUGUAUUCAUCAUUUUAAAUUGUUUUACCUCUGAAACCUUGUGUGUUUGCUCUUUUAAUUGGGAGGAUCUCGAUCCUUUCUCUUGUUGUGGCCCUUUUGUUUUGUGCUUACCCUUAUAUUUUUAAUGCAUUGGCCUAGCACUUAACACCCUGUUAGUUGUCUAUGUAAUUGUCCUUAACUGUAGUUUUUGGGACAAAAAGUACUUAUGAGGCUAAAAUCGACUGUCUUUGCAUUCCCCAUGAUUUACUGCUGAUGUUCCAUUUAUCAUUGUAAAGCUUGUUUCUCACCUGAGAUGCUUCUCACUUUUCCAAAGUAAUUUUUUCUCUACAGGGCUAUUUUCCAUUCAUGAGCAUUUAUUUUUCACAAAUACAGUCUAUAAGACAUUACAGUUAGUUUCCAUUGGUUCUGGUUUUCUAAUUUUUCGAGUUUUCAGGACUGUGGAUGGAAAGGAUGGGGAGAAAUAUCCUAUGGAGGAUAUGAAUGUGUUAAACGUGCUAAAGCUGCUGAAUUCCUGGUAUAUAAAAUUAUAGCAUUUAUUCUGUGUUUUUUUUCUCAAUAAAUAUUGUGUCACUGAUAAUUAGAUGUGCUGAAUCUAAUAAUUUCUGAUUCUCUGGAAUGACAAUCAUUAUAGAAACUUCUCUUUGAAGGCUUCAGAAAAAACAUGAAGUUAAUCAGUUUAACUAGUAAUGUUAUUCUUGAAGUUAUAAUUCAUUUUUUUUCCUUUAUUUUCUUUUAGGUUAGAUCAUGGAUGGAAGAAGUAUUUCCCGGUGUUAGUGACCACAUACUUUCUUAUGUGAUUGGACUUGAUAGCCUGAAGGCCGCUAGCAAUGAUGAUGGCACUUCAUUGUGGAAGGCUAGUGAUGAUAUUAGGUUACGCAUGGAUGGACUGUUUGAGCAAAAGGAACAUGCAGUUCAAUUUUCUAAGGAGUUUACAGCUUUAUACACAAAUGGACCAGCUGGCGGUGGGGGUAUCAGGUCAAAUUUUUUUAUCAGAUCUUACAUCAGUUUUCAUCUUUAAAUCAGAAUCGGGGUCAUGCUUAUAGAACCAUCACUGUGAAUGAGAUAAGUUAAACUUUCUCAAAUAGGCAUAAAUUCUUAACUGUUAAUAAGUUUUUCAGGUUCAGAUUCAGCUUAGCUUGGUUUUGGUGGGCUUAGAUUAAACUUAGCUGGGUGUUGUUAGAUUCUUGGGUAAAAUGAGACUCAAUAUUCACUGAGUUAAAUAACUUAGAUAUGACUAAUUCCUAAAAAUGAAUGAAUUCCACAUUGAUAAGGGUCUUCCUAUUGGUUGUCCACUAUGAAAGAAUGACAAUUGCAACAGAUGCAGUGUAUUUUAGCUGGCAAUGAUAUUUGACUAGGAAAAUAUUUUGGCAGUUAACUGACAAAGCUUUAAGCUUUACUGUGGCCACCCCUGUGUUGCUGCCUUAGGCUUGUUAAAGCAGCAUGAGCUGGACUUCAAGCUUGGGCUCAUCUACAAGUCUCAUGUUGAGCUCAGGCUUAGCUCAUAUACACAGCUCUCUGUAAUACUCUUUAUUUUGUUAUUUAUAUUUUAUUUUCCAUAAAGUGAGCUCCUUGUUCCACUGAGUCAUGGGGGAAAAAUGCAACAUUAAAUCAGGAAACUGGGAGAGUUCCAAGUAUGCAUGCACCAUUUAAUCGAGUGGUAAUUAACACUAUAAUUGUUGUUAAAUACCAAAGAUGACCAUCCUAAUAGUUUGAGCCAUUUUGGCUUUGUUUCGUUUCCAAAAAAUUUUAAAAAUGUAAGGGAAAGAAAAUAGAAUGGAAAAAUAGAAGGAAAUAAAAAAUGAAGGAAAAUAAAUACUUGAUUUGAAGUCAAUAAAUUAUUUUUUAUAUGCUACUUUAAACUCAUUUCGCUUAUUUUUUUUAUUCUAUACAAAGAUUAAAUAAUUUGAAAAUACAUAAGUUUCUUACUGAUUUUAAUUAUAUUUGAUUUUCUUCACUAUUUUUCAUUGUAAAACCAAACAUGAGAAAAUCGUUUUCCUUAGCAAUUCUUUUCUUUUCUUCGUACUGUCCUAGAAUCAAACAUAGCCUUUGGGUUCUAAUAUUUGCCUAGGCUACAUGAUUGACAAUAUCAGACUCAUGUUUGUGUAGUUUUAACUUUAAACUGAUAAGUCUCAAUUUUGCAAACUUCUUGUUCUAUAUUUCCUUCUUUUUCAUUUUUGAUCCUAUUCACCUGAAUACUUUUUUCACAGUAUCUGUUAAUGUCAUAAUAGUUCUUUUUGUUUAUAAAUGCAGCACUGGACAUAAGAAAGACAUCGUUCUUGAAAAGAAACUGGUAUGGCUCUCUCUGACUAAUUAUCAGGGAAAUGACUUUUGAGAAAUUUGUUUUGGCUCUUUUUUCUUUGGGAUUUUCUCUUUAUUCCAAACUAUUACUUUGCACCCUAUUACCUCCCCAAACCAAUGCUAUUGUUUCAUCUUGUCAUUGUUUUUGGGCAAUUUGAUCAUGUUUUUUAUCUAAUACUUUCAGUAUCACAUGGUGCACAAAGAAGUUCUAAAUUAAAAAGGAUUGCUUGUUGGAUAAUGCAGGUCAGACGAGAAUAUGUUUUCUGGCAAACUGGAGUAAAGCACAACAAGAUGAUGAACUCAAAUAAUCAGGGGGUCGGCAUUAAAGAAGAUCUAUUGGAAAUCCAUGUCUUGCAAGAGCCAGCAUUGCUGCCAACGGCACAAGAACAUCCCAGUGAUUUUUGGUCAUCAGAAAUUGAUCUUUUUCCUGCUCCAUCAGGCCAGAAAAUUCCUCUCUAUAGUGUAGCCCAUAGCAGGACUGGAGACAAAGGAAAUGACUUGAAUUUUUCCAUCAUCCCACAUUUCCCUCCAGAUAUUGAGAGGCUGAAGAUUAUCAUAACACCUGAAUGGGUAAAAGCAGCUGUCUCAACUCUCUUAAAUACAUCUUCAUUUCCCGACUCUGAUGCCAUCAAUAAGAGAGACAAAUGGGUUGCUGAACAUGUUAAGGUAGAGAUUUAUGAAGUAAAGGGUAUCCAUUCUUUGAAUAUUCUGGUCCGAAAUAUUCUAGAUGGUGGUGUAAACUGCUCUCGAAGGAUUGACCGGCAUGGGAAGACCAUUUCAGAUUUGAUAUUGUGCCAGAAAGUUGUUUUGCCACCAUGAGUCAGUGGGUUCAGUUAGCCUGUUGGAUUUCUCGUAUGGGGUGGACAUCCUGCAGUUCUCUUGUACCUUUCCUGUCUCUGUUCCUUUGGUAUAUGAUAUCCCAUAUACCUCAAAAAUAAAAAAAUUUCCAUUCAGAAAUGUAUUAGAAAUUCUGGACUACUUCAUAUGAAAAUGUUGUUCCAUCAAGUACAUUAUCCUUUACCCUUUAAUGCAAUGCAUUGGUUUACAAUGUUGAAACACCUUUUUUUUUUUUGGGAAUAUUUCCAGGGGGUUGAGACAGCGUGAGUCUCCUUAUUCAUAGUGUCCGUGAAGAAGCUUAGUCAAAUUCUAUAGAGGGCUAGGAGAUGGGGCUUUAUCUUGGGUUUCUAGGUGGGUGAUAGAGGCAGUGAUGGACUAGAGAUGAUCCAAGAGCAAUUGGAGUAUCUAAUCUGGUCUUUCAUGCGAUUUGAGACAAUAUUCAGUAUGAAAAUUAAUCUAGAGAAAAUCGAGCUAAUUCCAAUCAGGGGAGUUGAUAAUGUGGAGGCACUAGGCUCUCAUGGGGAUGUAGGGUGUGGAACCUACUCACUACAUAUUUGGGUGUAUUGAACAUGGAGGAGAGAUUUCAAAGAAGACUUGAUAUGUGGAAGGGACUAUCUAUCCAGAAGAGGGAAAUUUAUCUUUGAUCAGAAGGAGAUUGUUGUCUAGUAUAUAUAUGCUUCUUUCCUAACAAGUAAAUUUUUGAAGACAGGAAUAAUGAAUUCUUUGAUUAAUUUUUGGACAUGGUGUUGCCGUGGAAAGGCUGAGCAUUUGAGGCUAAAAACAUGGGGAAAAAUGAAAAGAUAAUAUCGUGUCAUAAGCUUUGUAUAAGUCUGAUACAUAACUUCUGGAACUUGCUUACAAAAUCAAAAUAAACGGAGAACAUACAAGAAUGGCAUUACGAUUAUAUGGUCUGCCAACCAGACGAAAAAUUGGGAGGAAGUCAGAAAAACAACAAAAGAAGCAUAGUGUGUGCGCUCGUGUUUGUGCAUUUUUUAGGAUUGCCCUUGUGUCUGGUCAGUUUGGUCAUGUUCUGGCUCUGCUUCUGCUUCUCCUUCUGCUUCUGCUUUUGUUUCUGCUUCUGCUUUUGCUUCUGCCUCUGCAUUUGAAGCAGCUUGUUUCUUGUGUGUUGCAGCCUCAAGAACAUGGCUGUAAUUGCCUUUCUCCAUGAAGAGCUGGGAAAAAUGGUGCUUGCAGUAGAGGACUCCAUUCAAAGCAGCAUAGGAUGAAUGUGUGAGGGGACAGCCCCCAUGAGCACACUUGAAGCAUGACUUGUGGUAAGAUUCUCCCUCUAGCGUCACCUGUUUGUCAAAUGUCAUUCGAUGAGUCAUUUUUUGGUUGGGCCAUUGCCAUUAACCUUCAUUUGGAUUCGGGAAAAUUUGAGGAAAAAAAAACACAAGGGAAAAUUAUAAAGAACAAAAAAGGUAAGGAAAAUCUGAAAAAAAAAUUCUCUUGCUUGGAUGUUGAUGACGUCAACACAAAAAAUCAGAAGGAAAAAGAAAUGGGGUUUAUUGUAGGAGUACAAACCUUCUCCAAUGGGUACACUGUCUUUCGACAAGCAGAGCAUUUGUCUUGGGUUCCGGAGAACAUAGAAGAGAGUUUGCUAGGAGCCCUUGACUGUAAAAGAUUUCAAAAUCCAUACGCUUAGUAUUAAUGGAAGAAAAGAAAAUGAUAGAAAAUAAAAUAAAGAUGUGUUUGGAUGUCCACCAAAUAUUGAAACAAAAAUGUCAUAAUAGACAAACUAACAUGUCAUGCAACUACUUUUUUUAUAUAAAAAAUUAAGAAUAUUUAAGGUUUGUUUGGGAGCGGUUCAUGUGUAGAAUAUUUAUGGUUUAAUUCAAAAACAUGUUUGAUUGAAAAUAUUUUAUAUUUUUGAGGAAUAUGCCAAGAACUUUGGCCUGAGAACGGUGGAGAACCAUUUUUAAUAAUUGUCUUUAAAACUGUUUUUUGAAAACUAUUUUCUUGAAUUUUGCCAAACAUGCUCUAUGUGACAUCCAGACCACCCCAAAGAGGCAAACACAUGGAUAGAAGGUAUGGAAUUGGGAGUAUCAAAUAUGUACCAGCUCAUUUAGCUUGUCAGCAGGCUUCGCAGCUAUUCAUGCAGAACCAUAGGAGUUAGCUCAUUAAGAAAAAGAAACCCAGAAUGCCAAAUAAAUUUUUUAAAAAAAAGUCUCACAUGUUUGAAAAUUCUUGCUGAAAUUGCCAGACUCCUUGAACAGCUGCUCAAAAUGAGGUUUGCAGUAGAGGACCCCAUCCAUGGAUGAGUAGUUGCUCAUCUGCAAAGUAAAACCCACUUGUUAUAUCUCAUAAAUUUACGUAGAUAUUGAUUUUCGUAAAAAUUUACCAAAAAAAAAAAAAAACAGGGGAAAAAUAGGCUUAGAAGAAACAUACCACAAGGGUGCCUUUGCAAUGGCUGCAUUUGAAGCAUGUUUUAUGAUAAGAUGCUCCAUCUGCAGACAACAAGUCCACCACAUAAACAGUCUUAUCACAAGCCUUGCAUUUAUCCAAGGUUCCAGUGAAUGCCAUUUUCCUUCUCUCUUCUUAGAAAAAAAGAACCCACAACUUAGAAAGCCGGUUAAUUCAACCAAGAAACAUUAACAUCAGACUCUUCAUCAGAAAUGUUUACACAAUCGAAAUUGAACAAAGUCUCCAUUUUUCUACUCAAAACUAAAAGUGGAUUGUAUCCCACCAAUGAAUGUUGGACACGUGAUUGGAGAUGGAUGUUACAAGUUAAACAAUGAAUGUUAAUGCUCUAAAUGUGGGCAUAAUCCGAAUGAAAUGGGAUGAGAAAGAAGAUGUUUUUGACUCAAUCUGAGGUUGAAAUUGAAAUGAGAAGGCCAAGUGUUUAGCCAUUGAUGCUGUGGUAGUUAUUUCGGUUGAACAAGUUUUUAACGGUGAUACUUGUUCUAGCUUUUAGGGGUUGUACCUGGGGAAAUGGGCCCAGACCAUUUGCAUUCAUGGGCCUGUUCGGGUUUGGUAGGGAUGGCAGUCGGCUGCUUGGCUUUGUAGAUAAUUUUUCUAAAAGCCAUUUUUUGUUAUGUAACAUAUUAUAAAUUUUAAAAACAUUUCAAUUAGAAUCAGUAAGUCUUGAGGACUAAGGAGACAAAAAAAUUUCAACUUUUUGGCUUCCAAAGAAGUCCAUGUUGGCGAUGCUUAGACCAAAAGGGUCUCAAUAUUUUACUUAAAAUGGAUCAUAUUAUUGUGCCAUUAUGCAUUAAAUAUGAUGAAAAACUUUAGGAUUUGUAUGACAUCUUCAAGAACAUUUUUUGAUAAGUAGUUUUUAAGAAUAAUUGUUAGGAGCAAAUUUCAAUUGUUUUUAAAAACAAAAUUAUAUUUCAGAAUACAAAUAUGGAAAAUAAUUUUAUUAUUUUAUUAUUUUAUUAUUUGUGAAGAUAUUAUAUAUUCAUGCAUAACACACAGUUUUGAACGUAUUAUUCAAGAUUUUAAUUAUUUAUCAAAUAUUUUACAAAAAAUAAUUAAAAAUAUUUUAAAUAUGUUAUUAAAAAAAUAACCUUUUUUUUAAAUUACAUUUUAAAAGAAAUGUUGUGUUUUUAAAAUUAGAAAACUACUUUGAAAAGUUGUUUUCAAACGUGCCCUUAAUAAAGACCCAGUGGAGUAAUAAAAACACGCCACCAAA